rnacentral:rRNA from 1 species
AAAGCGCGCGUAGGCGGUUACGUAAGUUGGAUGUGAAAUCCCCGGGCUCAACCUGGGAAUUGCAUUCAAAACUGCGUGGCUAGAGUGUGGGAGAGGAAGGUAGAAUUCCAGGUGUAGCGGUGAAAUGCGUAGAUAUCUGGAGGAAUACCGAUGGCGAAGGCAGCCUUCUGGCCUAACACUGACGCUGAGGUGCGAAAGCAUGGGGAGCAAACAGGAUUAGAUACCCGGGU